ACUAACAUGUAUUUAUAUGUUUUCUUUCAGUUUUGUAUGAACACGAGGGGCACGUGCAUCAGGGGUAUCAUGGUAAUCACAUGUACAUAGACAACAUGGUUCUCGGCUCCCCAACAGGGUCCGUGCUACCUAUGGAUUCAGACAUACAUCUUGGAGGCCCUGACAUGAGUUACGACAUGAAUUAUGACAAUGGGGGAAUGUGCAACCGCAUCAAGCAUAAGGAACGGCCCCAAGGUCAAGAAAAAGGGGCAUGCGUGGUAUGAGGAGUUGUGUAGGUUAUGUGGUGACAGGGCCUCUGGUUAUCACUUCAAUGCCCUAAAUUGCAAAGGUUGUAAAGGCUGCAGAGAUUGGUAUUUCUUUCCUGUUGGAGGACUUUGGUAUCAUGUUCAUCUCUCCAAAGAAAUCUUUUGGUGCCAGAGUUGCAUCAUUAAACAAAGAGGCUGAAAACACAGUGUGGAAUGGAUGAUAUUUUAUGAAACAUAGACAAAGUUGUUGUCAUAAAGUCUAAUUUUAGUCAGUCAGUUCUAAGACAUUGUCAGAUCAGAUUUAAGUGGGACUUUUGUCAGCAAACCAGAACAUAACUACAGGAAAUUACAAUAUCUUAAGAAGCAGCUGCCAGUUUUGUGAAAAAAGACAGACAAUCCAACAUUUGAAAAAGACACCAGUUUAAGCUACAACAAGACUGUGCAGAUAAGAUUCAACCCUGGGAAAGAAAUGGUUGCACAAGAAUAAAACUCCUACAGAUGUGGGAUUCAAUUCCGGAAAAAAACAGUGGUAAAGCAAGAACAAAACUUCUACAGAUGAAGGAUUCAACUACGGAAAAAUGAUGGUUGUACAAAAACAAAAUUUUGCAGAGGUACAAAAAAAAAAAAAAAUUGUGCAUGAACAAACAUUGUUUUGACAGAUUGAGGUGUUGGUUGUGUAAGCUGAGUGUAGAAAGGUGUUAUUGAAUGUUAGAAAAAGAGAUAGAAGAUAUUCUGAAUACCAGUCACUACCAAGAAACAGAAAUAGGAAGAACAGAAACAAAAUUUUCAGAAUUAUGCUUUGAAGGCUUCUUUGGUCUUGAUAUAUUGAAUCUAAGAUUAAAGUGGAAAAGUAAGCGGGGACUUUGAAUGUUUGAGGAAUUGUAGACUUGCGGUAUAUGACGAGCAGAAACAUUA
rnacentral:lncRNA from 1 species